AUAAUUUGAGUGUAGUGACUGAAUCUAGUAAACAGUUUCUUUUGCUUCCCUGUACCCCAAGCAUUAUGUGCAAUGCAGGACUCCUAACAAGACAAACACACAGAGCGCAGCCCUAUGUCUUCUCUUGCCAUUUCUGCAGUUUGGGAGCACAGUCCGGAAGUCUGACUCAUGUUGACCGGACCGGCAGGGCGAAAAUGGUCAACGUGGGUUCGAAGCUGGUGACAGAACGAACUGCUACAGCAUGAGCAAAGGUUUUUGUGGGACCCGAACUGAUGAAACUCGUACGAGAAAAUGGCCUGAAGAAAGGUGACGUACUUAGCAUUGCUCGCCUGGCGGGAAUUGUGGGGUCCAAGCAGACGUCCAGCCUUAUCCCUCUGUGUCAUAACAUAACUUUAUCCUCUGUGGCUGUGGACAUUGAACUGGACUCUGCUCUCAACUGUGUGAUUAUAACUGGCACGGCAAAGUGUAGAGGGCAGACGGGCGUGGAGAUGGAAGCUCUCACUGCUGUAUCGGUGUCUGCCUUAACAGUGUAUGAUAUGUGCAAAGCUGUGAGUCAUGACAUUGUGAUAUCUGAAAUAAUGCUUCUGGCCAAAAGUGGGGGAACUAGAGGAGACUUCCACCUGACAUGAGCAUCUGUGUGGGUUGUAAUAUUUGACAUUGCAGCUUUUGAAAAUGGAGCAGGAUGUUGUGCCCUCUUUCCUAUUGGAGUGUUUCUCUGUGAUCAGAAUUGGAGGCAGACAAUUCACUUGAACUUCCAUUGCUGUUGUUGAUGUCUUUGAAUCAUGUUGUUUCUUUGUGAUUAAUAAAAAAAUUAUACAAUCCAA